UUAAUGAGAGUUUGAUCCUGGCUCAGGACGAACGCUGGCGGCGUGCCUAAUACAUGCAAGUAGAACGCUGAAGAGAGGAGCUUGCUCUUCUUGGAUGAGUUGCGAACGGGUGAGUAACGCGUAGGUAACCUGCCUGGUAGCGGGGGAUAACUAUUGGAAACGAUAGCUAAUACCGCAUGAUAUUAAUUGUCGCAUGAUAAUUAAUUGAAAGAUGCAAUUGCAUCACUACCAGAUGGACCUGCGUUGUAUUAGCUAGUUGGUGAGGUAACGGCUCACCAAGGCGACGAUACAUAGCCGACCUGAGAGGGUGAUCGGCCACACUGGGACUGAGACACGGCCCAGACUCCUACGGGAGGCAGCAGUAGGGAAUCUUCGGCAAUGGACGGAAGUCUGACCGAGCAACGCCGCGUGAGUGAAGAAGGUUUUCGGAUCGUAAAGCUCUGUUGUAAGAGAAGAACGAGUGUGAGAGUGGAAAGUUCACACUGUGACGGUAUCUUACCAGAAAGGGACGGCUAACUACGUGCCAGCAGCCGCGGUAAUACGUAGGUCCCGAGCGUUGUCCGGAUUUAUUGGGCGUAAAGCGAGCGCAGGCGGUUAGAUAAGUCUGAAGUUAAAGGCUGUGGCUUAACCAUAGUAUGCUUUGGAAACUGUUUAAC
rnacentral:rRNA from 1 species